ACAGAAGACUAGCAUACGCGCGACACAUGAAGACUACGAAUGGACAUGAUUGCUGUCGCUGAUAUCAUAGUUAAUGCCAAUGGCAGAGAAUCACACUUUGCACCACUUUCGAAAGAAUACAUGCAAACAUGCUCCAAUUUCUCCCAUGCAGAUGCAAUUCAAAUUCUGAUCUUUUUGAAAUCUGUACGACAGCAAGAGCUAGCUCAGAUUUUUGCCCUAGCUUCAGCUCGGCUCAUGCCCUGUUUGAAGUAUAGCCCAGGCUAAGAAUUCGCCUGAGCUAUAUAUUUACUCUAAUCGGGUUUUACAGUUACCUAGGGCCGAGCACAUAUUAAAGACUAAAAAACUUGAUUUUUAUUCAUCAAAAGAAGAGGAAUAUAUCUGUUCCUAUUAAGACUCUAGUACAAGACCAAAGAUCUCAGAUCAUAAACAAAAAAAAGAAAGAAAAGGGGAUGAAUCACUCCUCAGAGGGAUUACCAAGGCGGUCGUCUGCAAGAUGGUAUUCCUCGAUGCUGACAAUAUCUUCGGUCUGAAUAGCUGCAUUGAUCUUAUCUACUUCGUCUGAAAAAUAAGACAUCAUUAUAAACCUCGACCAGCUAUCCGACGACACCACUUGUGAAUCUUUGUCCAGACAAUCAACUUAAAGAUGCUUGACGAAGUCAGGAGGAAGAUGCACCUGGGCAAUGGACUUGCACUUCUUGAAGCCCAUGAAGAACACCACUUUGCAAGCUUGGGCUAUGAUCUUAGCUCCUUCUCUCUCCAGUCGCUUUCUCCUGCUUUCAGCAUGUUUGAGUAAAAUCUUCUGAUCUAUAAAUUUUUCCCAAAGAAGCUUAUGGUUUACCUUUCUCUCUUUCAACCUUUUCUUUAGGUGCUCCACCUCUGAUCUGCUAUCUUGGACUCCUGAGAGUGGCUCUAGGGAGGUCUGAACUCCCUUGAAAGUGAAACAUCCAUCCCCUCGAGGAGCUCUCUCUCCUUGGCUCAUCCCCUCAGAGAUUUUGGCCCUCUUGGGCGGACCACCAUUGAGGCCCCUUUGAGAGUGAAUUUCAAAACUCAGAAAACUUCUUCUCGCUUCAAGUAUCCUCUUCAAGUGUUCUAGGUCAUCAUGGCUCUGGUGAUAGUUUUUCUCAUCCUCAGAUCUCUAUUUUUCAAGAGUUUUGAUCCUCCCCUUGAGGUCUUUAAUCUUUCUGUCGACCCUAGACUUCUGUUGUUCGAGGGCCUCAAUCCGUCUUUCAGCCUUCUACAACUCUUCAUCCCGAUGGAGAAUCGACUCUUGGGCCUUCUAAAGAGCCUCCUUAGUAAGAUUGAGUUCCUUGGCCAGCUCAGUGUUAUCUCUCUCCAGAUACUCCAAUCGAUACUUCAGCAAGUCAAUUUCGUCUUUCUCCAUCGCCAGAGCAUCGAAGUUGGAAUUAACGAGGCUCGCUAGACAUUGAUCUAUAUGAGUAAGGGAUCUCAAGGCAUCGACAGACCGUUUCUCCCCUCUUUGUUCGUUGAGAAAUAACUUUUCGACUGACGGUAGAAGAUUCCUCAAGUAUUCUAUCGCAGAUUGAAGGAUCUCUCCUGUAGACGGAGCACGAGGCAUCAGAUUUGAAGGUCUUGCAUGAGCAGUGGAUGCAAGAAAGCACCCAGCAGGGGUCGCCAUCUCUGGAGAUCCCCUAGUCUCUAUCAUCUUGGUCAUAUCUUUCUCUGGGUUGUCGCCUGCCUCUUCCAUCCGCACUUCCUCAGAUGAAACAUUUUCAGAGCAUUCCUCGACGCUCAUCUCCGGUGCCAUCUCUAUCGGUGCCCCACCAGUCGAGACUUCCUCUGGAGAACCCUGCAUCAUAGCUUCUAAUAGUUGGGCCGUGGAUUCGAUGGUAGGAGCAGAAUGUUCUUCUUCUCUGACUGCAGGUCUUUUUACAGCAACCAGAACCACAACCUGCCUCCUACGAGCCAAAAUUUGCUCAAGUCUCUUUAUGCAUUGUGAAUCUAUCUUGCUCCAAGGAAUCGUGAUGGACAAUUGGCACAAAAAGAUCUGUGGCUACUCGUGCCUUCAAAGAGCAAAUUUAAAAGAGAAAGAAAAUGAAAGGCCACCACAAAAUGAUUAAAACCUUGAAGAGACCAUCGUUUGAGUGGUCCUAUCAGUUACGUCCAUCCGCAUUAAUCGCAUUAGGCUGAUAUCAUCCACCUUAAAUACAAUAAAAGCGGGCGUGAAGAUAGAAGCGCUUGGCAUUGGAUCCGAGAUACUUUNNNNNNNNNNNNNNNNNNNNAUAGAUAUAUCACCACACAUUCGAUACCACAAUACACAACGAUAUCUCAAAAUAAUGGAGCGCCACAAAAAAAGGAUGGAGAGGAAGCCUCAGUCCAGCUCGAAAAUACUCCUCAUAGAAGCUAAUGCGCUCUGAAGGCGGACAGCAGACUCGAUCGUCCGAUCUCGGGACUUCAAGUUGAAACGUGAGAGGUAUUUGAUAUUACUUGUGCAUCAUGAUUAUGUCCCGCUCCAUCAACUUUAAUUUGAAAUCCAAUGGUGCAAAGUCAAUCUCCAUGAUGGCCAUCUCUUUCUCAUGCAAAAAAGCCAUGAAAAGAUGAAGAAGAGAAGAACUUGUAGUGAAAAGAGAAAAUCAGAGCUUAGCAAGAUCCGCGUUUAGUUCUGUCUAAGGAUGUUAAAUAACCUCAGACCUUAAUGGAAUGUCCAAAAGCCACCUCUCAUCGAUGCAUUAAUUGCAGGGAUGUGCAUCGACAGAAGACUAGCAUACGCGCAACACAUGAAGACUACGAAUGGACAUGAUUGCUAUCGCUGAUAUCAUAGUUAAUGCCAAUGGCAGAGAAUCACACUUUGCACCACUUUCGAAGGAAUACAUGCAAACAUGCUCCAAUUUCUCCCAUGCAGAUGCAAUUCAAAUUCUAAUCUUUUUGAAAUCUGUACGACAGCCGGAGCUAGCUCAGAUUUUUGCCCUAGCUUCAGCUCGGCUCAUGCCCUGUUUGAAGUAUAGCCCAGGCUAAGAAUUCGCCUGAGCUAUAUAUUUACUCUAAUCGGGUUUUACAGUUACCUAGGACCGAGCACAUAUUAAAGACUAAAAAACUUGAUUUUUAUUCAUCAAAAGAAGAGGAAUAUAUCUGUUCCUGUUAAGACUCUAGUACAAGACCAAAGAUCUCAGAUCAUAAACAAAAAAAAAGAAAAGGGGAUGAAUCACUCCUUAGAGGGAUUACC
rnacentral:lncRNA from 1 species